rnacentral:tRNA from 1 species
GCGCCAAUAGCUCAGUUGGAUAGAGCAUCAGCCUUCUAAGCUGAGGGUCGCAGGUUCGAAUCCUGCUUGGCGUA